CAAUAGCGUAUAUUAAAGUUGUUGCAGUUAAAAAGCUCGUAGUUGGAUUUCUGGUGGGAGCGAUCGGUCUGGCGCUUAGCGCGAGUACUUGCAUCGUCUCCGGCCAUCCUUGGGGAGAGUCUGUCUGGCAUUAGGUUGUCGGGCAGAGGAUCCUCAUCGUUUGCUGUGAAAAAAUUAGAGUGUUCAAAGCAGGCUUAUGCCGUUGAAUAUAUUAGCAUGGAAUAAUAAGAUAGGACUUUGGUACUAUUUUGUUGGUUUGCGCACCAAAGUAAUGAUUAAUAGGGACAGUUGGGGGUAUUCGUAUUCCGUUGUCAGAGGUGAAAUUCUUGGAUUUACGGAAGACGAACUACUGCGAAAGCAUUUACCAAGGAUGUUUUCAUUAA
rnacentral:rRNA from 1 species